GGGUUGUGAGGUUAAGCGACUAAGCGUACACGGUGGAUGCCCUGGCAGUCAGAGGCGAUGAAGGGCGUGCUAAUCUGCGAUAAGCGCCGGUAAGGUGAUAUGAACCGUUAUAACCGACGAUACCCGAAUGGGGAAACCCAGUGUGACUCGUCACACUAUCAUUAACUGAAUCCAUAGGUUAAUGAGGCGAACCGGGGGAACUGAAACAUCUAAGUACCCCGAGGAAAAGAAAUCAACCGAGAUUCCCCCAGUAGCGGCGAGCGAACGGGGAGGAGCCCAGAGCCUGAAUCAGCAUGUGUGUUAGUGGAAGCGUCUGGAAAGGCGCGCGAUACAGGGUGACAGCCCCGUACACAAAAGCGCAUGUGCUGUGAGCUCGAUGAGUAGGGCGGGACACGUGGUAUCCUGUCUGAAUAUGGGGGGACCAUCCUCCAAGGCUAAAUACUCCUGACUGACCGAUAGUGAACCAGUACCGUGAGGGAAAGGCGAAAAGAACCCCGGCGAGGGGAGUGAAAAAGAACCUGAAACCGUGUACGUACAAGCAGUGGGAGCACAGGUUUACCUGUGUGACUGCGUACCUUUUGUAUAAUGGGUCAGCGACUUAUAUUCUGUAGCAAGGUUAACCGAAUAGGGGAGCCGCAGGGAAACCGAGUCUUAAUUGGGCGUUAAGUUGCAGGGUAUAGACCCGAAACCCGGUGAUCUAGCCAUGGGCAGGUUGAAGGUUGGGUAACACUAACUGGAGGACCGAACCGACUAAUGUUGAAAAAUUAGCGGAUGACCUGUGGCUGGGGGUGAAAGGCCAAUCAAACCGGGAGAUAGCUGGUUCUCCCCGAAAGCUAUUUAGGUAGCGCCUCGUGAAUUCAUCUCCGGGGGUAGAGCACUGUUUCGGCUAGGGGGCCAUCCCGGCUUACCAACCCGAUGCAAACUGCGAAUACCGGAGAAUGUUAUCACGGGAGACACACGGCGGGUGCUAACGUCCGUCGUGAAGAGGGAAACAACCCAGACCGCCAGCUAAGGUCCCAAAGUCAUGGUUAAGUGGGAAACGAUGUGGGAAGGCCCAGACAGCCAGGAUGUUGGCUUAGAAGCAGCCAUCAUUUAAAGAAAGCGUAAUAGCUCACUGGUCGAGUCGGCCUGCGCGGAAGAUGUAACGGGGCUAAACCAU
rnacentral:rRNA from 1 species